rnacentral:lncRNA from 1 species
CAGGGCUGAUUUCCUUAAGAAUGGAUAGGUUUGAUCUUCUUGCAGUCCAUGGAACUCUCAAGAGUCUCCUCCAGCACCAUAAUUCAAAAGCAUCAAUUCUUCGGCGAUCAGCCUUCUUUAUGGUCCAGCUCUCACUUCCAUACAUCACUACUGGGAAAACCAUAGCUUUUACUAUACGGACCUUUGUUGGCAAGGUGAUGUCUCUGCUUUUUAAGAUGCUGUCUAGGUUUGUCAUUUCUUUUCUCACAAGAAGCAGGCAUCUUUUAAUUUCGUGGCUGCAGUCACCAUCUGCAGUGAUCAUGGAGCCCAAGAAAGUAAAAUCUCUCACUGCCUCCAUUUCUUCCCCUUCUAUUUGCCAGGAGGGGAUGGGACCAGUGGCCACGGAGACUCUCAGCCGCUCUGUAUUAAUCAUGAAUAAUGCCAGGUUCAGGGUGGCGCUGUGGGUUAAACCACAGAGCCUAGGACUUGCUGAUCAGAAGGUCAGCGGUUCGAAUCCCCGCGAUGGGGUGAGCUCCCGUUGCUCGGUCCCUGCUCCUGCCAACCUAGCAGUUCGAAAGCACAUCAAAGUGCAAGUAGAUAAAUAGGUACCGCUCCGGCGGGAAGGUAAAUGGUGUUUCUGUGCGCUGCUCUGGUUCGCCAGAAGCGGCUUAGUCAUGCUGGCCACAUGACCCGGAAGCUGUACACCGGCUCCCUCGGCCAAUAAAGCGAGAUGAGCGCCGCAACCCCAGAGUCGGUCACGACUGGACGUAAUGGUCAGGGGUCCCUUUCCCUUUAAUGCCAGGUUCACUUGAUUACAUCAAGGCAGGCUAUAAAAGCCAUAAGUGGGAGGGGCCCAGUGAGCUUCUGCCCAGAUCAAAGGACCUGAUGCUGGGAGACCGACGGUCAGCGUCUUUCUCCUGCUGCUCUACCUGGGGCUCCAGGCAGCUGAAGGGGAGAUUGGGUAGCCCCUGUCGGGUAUGUUUUAUGUUAUGCUUUGUAUGCCUGCUGUUUAUUUGUUAAUAAAACUGUUUCGGUUCCCCUUCCACCUCCUCAUUCCUUUUGUUCUGAGAUCCUUGGAAAGAACUGCUGUAUUUAGCAGCACAUGCAGAAGUCGUGGAGAUCCCAUGAAGCUGGACGUUGGAAGACUCAGGACAUAUAUGAAUCGGCACAUAGUUCAUGCAGCACAUAGUUACUCUCACUCCCACAGGAGGCAGGGAUGGCUUUGAAAGAGGACCGGACAAAUUCAGGCAGGAUGAGGCUAUCAGUAGUGACUGCCCAGGAUGGCUAGGUUCUUCGCCAAGUGUCAAAUUAGCUCAUUUGCCAGCAACCAAAAUUGCCUAGAAUAGAAUUUACCACUUAGAAAGCUUUGCAAAGUAAAUGUUUCAGUCUGCAGUUCAAAUCUUUAAAAUGUGGCUGCAUGAGACAUUUUAAUUAUCUUUACUGUUAGCACACAUUUAGAAACAUGAUCCACAGGAACACAAACAUUAAAAUAUCUAACUUCGGCUUCCUUGUCUUUCUUUCCAUGUCGUGUAGAGACGUGAGGGCGGGGGCGGGGGGAUUAUUUAUUUUGGUUUGCAUUUUAAUGAGAGGAUCCCAAAUUUGCAUGUCCCAAAUCAAUGCAUGAAUCAAAACGCUGCUCUCCUUUGAUAUCUGCACUUCUCCAAAUCUAACAAUGCAGUUCUUGAAGCGAAGAUGUAAAGAAUAUGAACACUCGUGGAAAAAUACAGAAAUAAAUUUUAUAAAGAGGAUGCUAUCUGCAAUCGUGCCUAUACUACACUAAACUCUUUAUAAAAUACAUCUAUUACGAGAAACAAGUGUAAAAAUACACUUGAAUUUUCAGGCAGACAGAAGAAGAAUUCAAGACGCAUUGUGCUGGUCCCGGGGGUUAAUCAAGAGGCAAGGUCCAAGUCCAGUCCGUGGUCGAGGGUGCAGUAUGGAGGCAGUCUGUCAAAGCUGAAGCUGGGUCCAAGGCAGGGAGUCGGUUGAGGUCAAGAGCAGGACAGGGUGCAGGCAGGAACUGGAUACCAACAAUGUUGCUCCCACAACUUGGGACUGGGGCUGACUGGCUUUUAUCUGCCCCGAGGCAUAGGGCGGCCCUGGUCCACAGGUGACUCGCCUCUCCUGGUCUGGAGGCCAGCACUCCUCCUGCAGGAACUUAGUUCCCUCCGCCUCUCUGCCCUGAGCCUCUGCAGCUCAGGAGAGGCUGGAGGGUUACCGGACCCAGAGGCAACCUCAGCUUCCCCUGACGGGGCUGAGAGUGGAGCACCUGCAGGCAAUGGGUCCUCCAUCACCUCAGGAGCCAGAGCAGACUCAGCUGGUGCCUGCACCUGAGGAUCCAGAACAGGUGAGGACCUUUCAGGCUCAAGCCCCAGCCCCGGUUCAGCUGGUUCUGGAGGCGGGGAAUCCUGGGCAGGCUGGGAUCCCUCAGGUUCAGCCUCCGAGUCCGAAUCCCCGGCCAUCACACGCAUAAAAGAAGCACAUUAAGCUGCACACUUAAACUGUGGAACUGGCUCCCAGGAAGAAGGCUACCAAUGACAACUUGUCACGAUGGCUAUAUUUUGCUUCUGUAUGUUUUGUUUCCCCACAAGAUGGGAAAGUGCUCAUGUGCUUGGUGGCUGCUGUGAGCACAAGAGACUAUUUGUUAAGUUUUCUGUUUUACAAUUAAAACACUCAUCUUACAUCCUUAAGAUAUCAAUGACUUCCCUUCUUUUUCCAUGGUUCAUUUUACAUAUCAGAAGUCCCUGCAUCUUUUACAAAAACUAUACCAUUCAGUUGAAAAGAACCAGAAAUGCUCACUAGCUGCUCUCCAGUCCUUAGGGGAUUCCGUGAGUCCACCAGGUGAAAGGAUUCCCUGCGGUCAGAGGGUUUUAAGAAAACAGGCAAGACCAAGGCAAAACCUAAAGCAAAGUGGCUAAGAAGCCUGACCUUUAUUUGUAAGCAAAACUGCUAUAGCAGGACCAGCAAUAGAAGAAUGGCAGAUGAAGAUGUUGGACUUUUUGGAGCUGGCUGACCUGAAUGGAAGAAUCCGCGACCAGAAGGAAGAGGAAUAUCAAGAAAACUGGAAGAAAUUCAAAGAAUAUUUAACCAAAUAUUGUAACAUAAGAUAAUUAGAAAUCACUUGGAAGUAUCAAAUAGGCUUAGGAUUAGAUUAAGAACGACUUGUAAAGAAUUACAGGGAACCAGGCAGAGGGCCUUCUCGGUAGUGGCGCCCUCCCUGUGGAACACCCUCUCACCUUUCAUCAUCACUACAUCGUUUCUACAUCAUCAGAAGGGGAGGUAAAUGGGCAGAGCCUGGGUGUCAGGUAGCUAUCCUUCCUGCCUUUUACCCAUCACCUGACACCCGAUAAAAACAAGACAAUAAAUCUAUUUACACUUCCUGACCCAACCGGUUAAGUUGCUCACUAUCCUUUUUGUUCUCCGGAGUCAGAAUCCAUUCUUGGGCUGCUGUAGCUCUUUGUGAUCUUGAUGGCUACCUGUCUGGCACUUGGGUUAGGUGUGAUAAGAAUUUUAAGGUCUUUGAUAUGUAAUAAAUGUUCAUAAAUGUACCAAGCAAACACGUACAUAAAUAUAUAAACCACAUGUCUGAAAACCCCACAGAAAAAAAGUCCUGAACAAAUUGACGUCAAUUAUUUCUCUGCAAGGUCAAAGUGGGAAACCUCCCCAUUGUCUUUUUCUGGUCUCUUGUCUCAUCAUUUGGGGUAAAGGGGUAGGCACCACAGACAGGGUUUAGCGCGUGUGCCUGCAAUAAUUGCUGGCUAAUCUGUCUUCUCUCCCCCCCCCAACAGGAACAGCUUUGCGAAAAGAAUGCAACAGCUACUUGACUCAGGACAUCUAUGGAUUUCCGCUGGAAUGUUUGUGGCCCCUUGCAGUCUCAUCUCCUGAUGCACAUUUACUAGUAGUCUCAGUGUCUGCAUCUAAUGAAUAAACUAUUGUCAGUUACCCUGCCUGGUGUCAUUUCUUUCACUGAAUGUGUGAGGUAUAUCAGUGUAGUGUAUCAGAAGGCUUAUGGAGUCACCUUUAUGCAAUUGUGGUCCCCGCCCCCCCAGGAAUAAAGUAGAGUUUAUGAUGUACAGGACUCCUUCAUAGUAACAUCUCAUAUAAACGUACAAGGUUGCCCCCCCCUUCAUUGAGUUUGUUGUUGUUGUUGUUUAGUCGUUUAGUCGUGUCCGACUCUUCGUGACCCCAUGGACCAGAGCACACUAGGCACUCCUGUCUUCCACUGCCCCCCACAGUUUGGACAGACUCAUGUUUGUAGCUUCGAGAACACUGUCCAACCAUCUCGUCCUCUGUCGUCCCCUUCACCUUGUGCCCUCCAUCAGAGUCUUUUCCAGGGAGUCUUCUCUUCUCAUGAGGUGGUCAAAGUAUUGGAGCCUCAGCUUCAGGAUCUGUCCUUCCAGUGAGCACUCAAGACUGAUUUCCUUCAGAAUGGAUAGGUUUGAUCUUCUUGCAGUCCAUGGGACUCUCAAGAGUCUCCUCCAGCACCAGAAUUCAAAAGCAUCAAUUCUUCGACAGUCAGCCUUCUUUAUGGUCCAGCUCUCACUUCCAUACAUCACUGCUGGGAAAACCAUAACUUUAACUAUACAGACCUUUGUCAGCAACGUGAUGUCUCUACUUUUUAAGAUGCUGUCUAGGUUUGUCAUUGCUUUUCUCCCAAGAAGCAGGCGUC